rnacentral:rRNA from 1 species
UACAGAGGGGGCAAGCGUUGUUCGGAAUUACUGGGCGUAAAGGGCGCGUAGGCGGCCCGCUAAGUCGAACGUGAAAUCCCCGAGCUCAACUCGGGAACUGCGUCCGAUACUGGCGGGCUUGAAUCCGGGAGAGGGAUGCGGAAUUCCAGGUGUAGCGGUGAAAUGCGUAGAGAUCGGGAGGAAUACCAGCAGCGAAGGCGGCAAACUGGAUAGGCACUGACACUCAACUGCGAAAGCGUGGGGAGCAAACAGG